AAUCAACGCUGGCGGCGUGCCUAACACAUGCAAGUCGAACGCGAAAGUCCCGCAAGGGAUUAGUAGAGUGGCAAACGGGUGAGUAACACGUGGGUGACCUGCCUUCGAGUGGGGGAUAACGUCCCGAAAGGGACGCUAAUACCGCAUAACAUCCUGCCUUUUAAGAGGUGGAGAUCAAAGCUGGGGACCGUAAGGCCUGGCGCUGGAAGAGGGCCCGCGUCUGAUUAGCUAGUUGGUGAGGAACGGCUCACCAAGGCAACGAUCAGUAUCCGGCCUGAGAGGGCGGACGGACACACUGGGACUGAGACACGGCCCAGACUCCUACGGGAGGCAGCAGUAGGGAAUCUUGCGCAAUGGGCGAAAGCCUGACGCAGCAACGCCGCGUGGGGAUGACGGCCU
rnacentral:rRNA from 1 species